rnacentral:lncRNA from 1 species
CAGGAGGAGACAGGUAAAUACAGGAAUAGUACUUGGGUAAAAAAGGAUUUCAUGUUUGUUUUAACCGAAUCGUUUACUCCUCGGAGCUGGAAUCCGUCGCCUCCUCGUAGUCGUCCUCCUCGCCGCCGGCCGGCUGGUCGUCGGCGUUCACGUUCUGGCCCUGUGGGUCCGCACCGUUGAUGGGAUGGACCACGCUGUAGAAUGGCUGGGGCUGGAAGCUGGAGCCGUCGAUGGGC